AGGAACAUACACUGGGUGUGGCUUUUCAAUUCUACUCUCAGAUCGAGGAUCUGUCUUGGUUGGAGGUCCGCCAGUUCUACAGCGCCUAGGAUAAGGCAAAUCCUUACUACCACCAAUGACAGGCCUAGCAAGAUCUUCAUCCUUGUCAGGAUUGCCCAGAUCAUUAUAUGUAGCAUAAUCAUAAAUUCUAUCAUGACGCUUUCUCUCGCCUUUCCCAUUGCCGCGAAUGCUAAGCAAGUCUUCACGCCGUAGAUCUUUAAUACCAGGAGGUGUCUGGGAUGGUAGGUAAGCUUGAUUUCUGAAGAUAAUUCUGCUUUCAGGAUUGUCUUUUUGGGAAUGAAUCCAGGUAUUUGCAGAGAAGAAAAAGGGACCUCCACCGAAACCAUGAAUUACAAUCUCCACCAAGUAGAACUCCUUGCCAUGAAGAUUGGUAAUAAGAACAGCUCCAGGAUUGCC
rnacentral:misc_RNA from 1 species